AAACGACUCUCGGCAACGGAUAUCUCGGCCCUCGCAUCGAUGAAGAACGUAGCGAAAUGCGAUACUUGGUGUGAAUUGCAGAAUCCCGUGAACCAUCGAGUCUUUGAACGCAAGUUGCGCCCCAAGCCUUCUGGCCGAGGGCACGUCUGCCUGGGUGUCACAA
rnacentral:rRNA from 1 species